rnacentral:lncRNA from 1 species
AUGAUGAAAGGAAAGUUAUCCUGUGGAAAGCAUCACAAUAAGCUGCACACACUGUGCUGCUGCUGUGGCUCUAAGGCCUACACCUUCAGAAGGCAAUCUGUGGCAAAUGUGACUACCUUGUUAAGUACAAGAGAAAGUAUAACUGGAGUGCCAAGUCUAACAGACGAAACACCACUGGGACUUGUUGGAUGAGGUACCUAAAAACUGUCUAUCACAGAUUCAGACAUGGAUCCCAUGACAGAACAGCACCUAAACCCAAGAGGGCAGCUGUUGCCGCAUUCAGUUCAUCUUGA